rnacentral:tRNA from 1 species
GGGAGUGUGGCCGAGAGGUCUAAGGCGACAGUCUCAAGUUCUGUUGGACGUAGUCCGCGUGGGUUCGAACCCCACCGCUCUCA